CGCAAGGUUAAAUUGAGUUCCCCGGUUAGGUGGUUAACUGAUUUUUGUCCUCUGACGUCCUUGGGUAGGCAGAGGGAGUCUGGAAGGGCAUCAAGGAAUCUUUGGGUUGUCUGAGAAUUUAUAGCACGACUUUUAAUGCUUCUUGGUUGGGGUCUGAGCAGAUUAUUUGUUGCGAUUGCGAACGUAAUAAAAUGGUGGUCCGAUUGUCCAGGAUUAUGAGGAAAAACAUUAAGAUCCACAACAUUUAUUCCAUGGGACAAAACUAGGUCCAGAGUAUGACUGUGGCAGUGAGUAGGUCAAGGGACAUGUUGGAAAAAACCCACUGAGUCGAUGAUGGCUCCAAAAGCCUUUUGGAGUGGGUCUGUGGACUUUUCCAUGUGAAUAUUAAAGUCACCAAAAAUUAGAAUAUUAUCUGCGAUGACUACAAGGUCCGAUAGGAACUCAGUGAGGAACGCUGCAUAUGGCCCAGGAGGCCUGUAAACAGUAGCUAUAAAAAGUGAUUGAGUAGGCUGCAUAGAUUUCAUGAAUAGAAGCUCAAAAGACGAAAACGUCGUUGUUGUUUUUUGGGGGGUAAAUUUAAAUUUGCUAUCAUAAAUGUUAGCAAUACCUCCGCCUUUGCGGGAUGCGCGGGGGAUAUGGUCACUAGUGUAACCAGGGGGUGAGGCCUCAUUUAACACAGUAAAUUCAUCAGGCUUAACCCAUGUUUCAGUCAGGCCAAUCACAUCAAGAUUAUGAUCAGUGAUUAGUUAAUUGACUAUAACUGCCUUUGAAGUGAGGGAUCUAACAUUAAGUAGUCCUAUUUUGAGAUGUGAGGUAUCACAAUCUCUUUCAAUAAUGGCAGGAAUGGAGGAGGUCUUUAUACUAGUGAGAUUGGUAAAGCGAACACCGCCAUCUUUAAUUUUGCCCAACCUAGAUCGAGGCACAGACACGGUCUCAAUGGGGAUAGCUGAGCUGACUACACUGACUGUGCUAGUGGCAGACUCCACUAAGCUGGCAGGCUGGCUAACAGUCUGCUGCCUGGCCUGCACCCUAUUUCAUUGUGGAGCUAGAGGAGUUAGAGCCCUGUCUAUGUUCGUAGAUAAGAUGAGAGCACCCCUCCAGCUAGGAUGGAGUUCGUCACUCCUCAACAGGCCAGGCUUGGUCCUGUUUGUGGGUGAGUCCCAGAAAGAGGGCCAAUUAUCUACAAAUUCUAUCUUUUGGGAGGGGCAGAAAACAGUUUUCAACCAGCGAUUGAGUUGUGAGACUCUGCUGUAGAGCUCAUCACUCCCCCUAACUGGGAGGGGGCCAGAGACAAUUAAUCGAUGCCGACAGCUACGAAGAAUACAGAUGAAAACUCUCUCUUACCAGAUGCAACUGUUCUGUCCUGCCGGUACAUCUUCUAACCAGCCAGCUGUAUAUUGAUAUUGUCGUCAUUCAGCCACGACUCCAUGAAGCAUAAAAUGUUAGUUUUUAAUGUCCUGUUGGUAGUUUUAUCUUCCGCGUAACUUGUAGAUUUUAUUCUCCCAAGGAUUGCACGUUUGCUAGCAGAAUGGAGGAAAGUGGGGGAUUAUUCGAUCACCUACGAAUUCUCAGAAGGCAGCCCGCCCUUAAGGUACGGCUACUGCGUAGGGGUCACAGUCAGCCCCCUGUUAAAGUUUGAUGUGUUUCUGUGUGAUUUGAGCAGCUGCGUGGAUGUCACCACCUUCAUCUACUUCUCUGUGUUUCCCCCACUCAUCUACGUCACCUUCCUCAAAGGCUUCUUCGGAGCCCAAGGUCCUCUUCUCCUACAAGUGUCAGGUGGACGAGCCUGACGACCAGACGGAUGUCCACCUGCCCCCCACCUCAGGCCUGGGCCACAAGGAGCAGCUGGAACAGGGCUCCUUCUACCCCGGCACCCAGAUAGAUGGCCUGACUGCUGCAACCAUGGGCACCGGCAUAGCUGCUUACCUGGACGAUGUGGCCUCUGGUCCUUUCAACAGCGACCGCUGGAGAGCCAUCAAUGCCUGAGAGGAGAGGAAAUGAAAAGGCAGGAUAGGGGAUAUUGGACUUGUUGAGUGGAGAAGUUGGAGUUUGCUAUGGCACUCUCUCCCUCCGGAGACACUGUGAAUUGACUCUCAUUUCAGCGCCUGUCUGUUCUCCAUUUUGGAUCUUGCUGCCUUGUCCAUUCUGGCUCAAACAUGACAUUUUCCCCCAAUACCUGCAGGGGAUAUUUCUACAACUUCAGUCAAGUAUUAUCCCCCCUGUAAAUUAGUGUGUGGCUGACCAAGAUAAGAAGAUAAUGUAAAGGUAAUGUCCGAUACAUUUCCAUCGAAGGAUUACAACUGAGGUAAAGUCCAUUAACUGUGGCCUUGUAUUAGAUUUGUAAUCGUCUUGUAUUGAAUAACUGCCUCACUCCCUAUAGGCCAGCCCUGUUCUUAUCGCGCUAGGAGCCUUCUCUAAAUUACAUCACUCAUAAUGAAUCAAGUGUGCUUAAUUAUUUUUUUAAUGUUUGAUAUCAGUGCUUUUUUUCCCCCUCUUGUUGAUGAUCGAAAUCCUACAGUGUAACGUCAUGUAGAAAUUGAAGACCUGUUUGGCUUGAGUCUACAUUUUACAUUUACAUUUUAGUCAUUUAGCAGACGCUCUUAUCCAGAGCGACUUACAGUAAUGAAUGCAUACAUUUCAUGCAUUUUUUUUUUUGUACUGCCCCCCCGUGGGAAUCGAACCCACAACCCUGGUGUUGCACACACCAUGCUCUACCAACUGAGCCACAGGGAAUGCCGGGACUUGGUAUGCCAUGUCAGACAAUUAGCAGUGAUUAACUGGUAUCUAUGUAACUUGCUGCUGGGGCUGGGAGAGACCCAAAAUGGAUGCCAUGCCGCACCCAUGUCGCCUCUACCUAUUUUAUGUUAUUGUUUGGCGUCGGUUUUAGUUAUUUUAGUGACUGCUUGGUUUUAUGUCGAUCGGUAGUUCCAUCAGCUGAUCAUUCCUGGUAUUAAAGGUGCUUAUGACUUAAGUAAAACUUUCCAACCACCAAUCAAAUGAGAUGGAGAAGGCAGGAACAGCACUUGUGGCGAAACAAUGUAUUUUGUGGACAUUUUUAUUUCAAGAAAUAUUCAUGCCCAUAUACAUUGGAUUCAACUGAAAAGUGAGGUUAUUUUAACGACUUGAAAUUUGUUUUCACUAUAUGAAAUUAUUGAUGAAGUCAACUUAUGGGGUUUCCCUUGUGUUCUUUAUAGUCAACCCUGCAUUCAUCACAAAGAAAGAGCAACUUUUAAACAAAGUCCAUCUGAUUGCUCAUGGUGCUCAACGCAAACUAAAUACCAAUUUUCAUGAAGCCCUACUUCCUUGUCUUAAUUCCUACUUGUAUGUCUGCUGUGAACUUAGUUGCCCACAACACAUGGCUUGCUGGGAAAGAAAUUCUAUUGGUGGCUGAAAACAAUGUAAUUCCAGUUUGUGUGAAUUACGAUGUCACUUUUUUGAUUUUAGUUUUGUUUAUGCCCCUCUUGAUUUUGUCACUGAUAUUCAUUCCCCUAACGAUUAAUGUUAUGUUUGCUAUGAUAAAAUGUGAAGUGGGUGAAGUUAUUCAUGUGACAUUAUAGCAUCCAGUGGAGGCUAGUGAGGGGAGGAUGGUUCAUCAUAAUGGCUGGAACAGAGUAAAUGGAAAAGCGUCAAACACAUGGAAACCAUGUGUUUGAUGUAUUUUAUUCCAGUCAUUACCACGAGCCCGUUCUGCCCAAUUUAAGGUGUCACCAACCUACUAGGAUAGCAUCACUACGUAUUAUAAGAGACAUUUAUUUUUUUCAUAAGCGUAUGCCACCACAAAACAAGCAUUUUAUAUUGUCAUUGUAGUAUUUUAUACAAGUCUUCUGCUUUGCUCUUCCCAAUACCUGCCCUGCAUCAACAGACUGUUGCUUGCUCUCAAACACUGCCUUAUAUUUCUAGAGAAAUGUCGGAAGAGUUGCGUUUGAGGUACAAAAUUAUACUAUACUCAAAUCAUCAUGAAUAAGGUCUCUGGGUGUGGGUUUCAAAUGCAAGUGCAGUCAUGUUAAAUAUUGAAUAUAAUAUUUAAGAUGGUAAAUGAAAGAACUUUGAAAAAGAGUGAGGAUACUUGAUGCCAGCAAUUUGUGAACAAUUUAUAGCUCAAUGAUACACUAUUAAAUUAAAAUAAAAGAACGGUGUUUCAGCAUUCCAUGAGAGACUAUUAAAAUAUGCUUCCUUUUCAUUCCUAUAGCCUGCCCAUAUGUAUUUUCUUUGGACUGUGUCUCCCCUUGGUGUUUUGUUGUGGUAUUGCAUAUGGAAAGUGGUCCCAGUAAAUGUUUCAGUUGUGCAUGGCAUGCAGUGUUUCAGUUGUCUGGGGUUAGCCAAAGCUGAAUGUAUGGCACACAAUUUUAUAUAUAUUUUGGACUAACCAAUCAUCUUUCUUGUACAAACAUGCACAACAUUUGGAGAUUUAGAUUUCUGGGAGGCAGGGGAUGACUACAGAGGUACAAUUCCCAGCCCCUUUAUGGUCGCCUAUGAUGUGUGAUAAAAUGUAAUUGCAUUCUGAUUAUUUUAUCCACCUAUACUGUGGAGAAUACUGCAUGUCCUGGAAAAGUGACCUUUCCUUUUGGAGGCCCUAAGCAAGAUUUGGUUUGAAGGGGGGGGGUCACUUCACAAGCAGAAUAUUUUAGUGCCCCCCCCUCUUGAUGGUGGAGAGAGACAUUGUUUUUGAAGUACAUUUCCUGUAAUUCUACACAUUUUGCCAUGGGGUCCCACAUGACAAAAUUCUAUAGUAUAUUUUCGUAUAAAUACAGAGAAUUAAAUAUUUUAUACUAUCGUG
rnacentral:lncRNA from 1 species